rnacentral:rRNA from 1 species
UGAGGAAUUUUGGACAAUGGGGGAAACCCUGAUCCAGCGACGCCGCGUGAAGGAUGAAGGUCUUCGGAUUGUAAACUUCUUUUGUCCCGGAUUAAGAAACCCUUGGAAACAAGGGGAGUGAAUGAUGGGAUGAAUAAGCCACGGCUAACUUCGUGCCAGCAGCCGCGGUAAUACGAAGGUGGCAAGCGUUACUCGGAAUUACUAGGCGUAAAGGGCAGGUAGGCGGUUUGGUUAGUCUGUUGUGAAAGCUCCCGGCUUAACCGGGAGAGGUCAACAGAUACUGCCAGGCUUGAGUAUGGGAGAGGGUACUGGAAUUCCUGGUGUAGCGGUGAAAUGCGCAGAUAUCAGGAGGAACACCGAUGGCGAAAGCAGGUACCUGGACCAUUACUGACGCUCAGCUGCGAAAGCUAGGGGAGCAAACAGG